GAUGACGCUGGCGGCGUGCCUAACACAUGCAAGUCGAGCGAUCUUCUUCGGAGAAGAGCGGCGGACGGGUGAGUAACGCGUGGGUAACCUGCCUCAUACACAUGGAUAACAUACCGAAAGGUAUGCUAAUACAAGAUGAUAUAAGAGAUUCGCAUGGGUUUCUUAUCAAAGCUCCGGCGGUAUGAGAUGGACCCGCGUCUGAUUAGCUAGUUGGUAAGGUAACGGCUUACCAAGGCGACGAUCAGUAGCCGACCUGAGAGGGUGAUCGGCCACAUUGGAACUGAGACACGGUCCAAACUCCUACGGGAGGCAGCAGUGGGGAAUAUUGCACAAUGGGCGAAAGCCUGAUGCAGCAACGCCGCGUGAGCGAUGAAGGCCUUCGGGUCGUAAAGCUCUGUCCUCAAGGAAGAUAAUGACGGUACUUGAGGAGGAAGCCCCGGCUAACUACGUG
rnacentral:rRNA from 1 species